CCCAGUCCUCACAGGGAGGUUAAAGGCAUGUGUGUAAAGUGUUGUCCUAGUCCUCACAGGGAGGUUAAAGGCAUGUGUGUAAAGUGUUGUCCCAGUCCUCACAGGGAGGUUAAAGGCAUGUGUGUAAAGUGUUGUCCUAGUCCUCACAGGGAGGUUAAAGGCAUGUGUGUAAAGUGUUGUCCUAGUCCUCACAGGGAGGUUAAAGGCAUGUGUGUAAAGUGUUGUC